GAUGAACGCUGGCGGCGUGCCUAAUACAUGCAAGUCGAGCGAACAGACGAGAAGCUUGCUCCUCUGAUGUUAGCGGCGGACGGGUGAGUAACACGUGGAUAACCUACCUAUAAGACUGGGAUAACUUCGGGAAACCGGAGCUAAUACCGGAUAAUAUAUUGAACCGCAUGGUUCAAUAGUGAAAGACGGUCUUGCUGUCACUUAUAGAUGGAUCCGCGCUGCAUUAGCUAGUUGGUAAGGUAACGGCUUACCAAGGCAACGAUGCAUAGCCGACCUGAGAGGGUGAUCGGCCACACUGGAACUGAGACACGGUCCAGACUCCUACGGGAGGCAGCAGUAGGGAAUCUUCCGCAAUGGGCGAAAGCCUGACGGAGCAACGCCGCGUGAGUGAUGAAGGUCUUCGGAUCGUAAAACUCUGUUAUUAGGGAAGAACAAAUGUGUAAGUAACUGUGCACGUCUUGACGGUACCUAAUCAGAAAGCCACGGCUAACUACGUG
rnacentral:rRNA from 1 species